CAACAAAAAGGCAGUUCUGUAAUAGGUAAGAGUUAAUGAAAGUGAAAAGCAUGCCUUCAAGGAGCAAGUGGAUUUGACUCUUUCAGAUGACUUGCAAAGAGAAACAAAGGGAGGGAAACAAAUGCUCAGAAUAUGCAGAGAAAAUAAGUACAUCCUAUCCAGGAGAGUCGGAAGAGGAGAAAGAUGACAAAAAAUAUAAGAGUAGAGAUGCCGAUGAAGCAAUAUAUCCAUGGAUGAGCAGACAAUGAGUACACAGAUCAGGAUGGGAAGAAAUAACUUUUUAUAGAAUACCUACUUAUUGUAAUAAAUUUCUAGGCACACAACCAUCUUAGUGUACAGUACAGUUAUGGCUUCUAAAUUUUCACUAUUCCAAUCCUACUCACAUCCAAAUAUGUAUUCCAUUGCCAGUUUAAUCUUCCUAACAAUGCUUUUAUAACAUUUUGCUGAUCAAAAACCUCCUAUGAUCUCCCAAAGGCAUAAUGACAAAUAUACGAAAUGAUAUAUGCACAAGGCUAUUUGUUGAAGCACUAAUUCAGGUAGCAAAAGACUGAUAACAUUUCACAUAUCCUACUAUACAGAAAUGAUUGAACAUAUAGUGGAUACAAACAAUGGAGUACUAUCCAUCUCCUUAAAAAAUGACAAAGAUCUUUACAUAUUGCUAUAAGGUGACCACCAGGAUAUAUUAAGUUUAAAAGGAAAAAGCAAGAUAUAAAUAAGCACGCACAGUUUGCUACUUUUUUAUAAAGAAAAAAAAGGGGUACAAAUACCUAUACUGUUUGCUUACAUUUAAAAAAAAAUAAAAAAAGGAUAAAUGGAAAACCAAUAAAAAUUUGUACCUAUAGGGAAAACAUCAGAACACAGGAGAGAGGGCAGAGAUGGAAGCUUAACCUCUCUAAAUAUAUCUAAUAUAAAUAUAGUAGAAUUUUUAUAUCCAAUAUAAAGUUAAUUUAUAUAGAGAAAAUAUUUUAAGCAGUGUAGUUCAAAGAAAUAAACAGGAGUAAAAUAGAAGAGCAAAUACAGAAAUAAAGUAUAUGUAAGAAUUAAAGAUAAUAUGAAGGUGGUAUUUCAGUCAGUGAACAAAACAUAGAUUUGUUUUUCCAAUGAUGCCAUGGCAACUGAUUAACUAUUAGAAGAAAAUUAAGUUAGAUGAGUCACUCAUUUCAUACACUCAAAUAAAUUAUAUUCAUUCAUCUAUCUAUUCAUCUUCUAUCCAUUUUAUUCAACAAAUAUUUAUAGAAUAUCUUCCAUGUGCUAGGCUCUGAACUAGUCACUUGGGAAAAAACAGUCACUAUACAUAUAGAGGAAGAGAAAAUUUAAUCUAACAUUCAUGAGCAAAAUCUGAAUUGCAGUUUUGCCACUUACUAGCUGUGUGAUACUGGAUAAGUUAUUUAACCUCUUUACUUCGGUUUCCUUAUGUGUAAGAGAGGGCAAUAACAGUAUCCGUCUUGCAAGGAAUGAUAGCAAUAGCUACCUUAAUGAGCAUUAAUGCAAAUAUCUAUGAAGCAUUUAAAACUCUGACACAGCAUAAGUGCUACAUUAAGUGCUUGUUAAAUAAAUAAAACAUAAAUUGACAUAAGGCUUGUAUAGGUAGGUAGAGGUAAAGAUCCUCAAGUAUGGUCCAUGAACCCCUGGGAAACUAUAAGUUCAAAACUGCUUCCAAAAUAACAUUUAGAUGUUAUUUGCCUUUUUCAUUGUCUCAACAUUUUCAAUGAUGUCGUAAAAGUAGUGGUAAAAUUGCUUACAACUUCGCACAAAUCAACACAAUGAUACUAAACUUACUAGUAGUCCUUGUAUUCUUCCCCAUCAUGUACUCUUGGUUUAAAAAAAAAAAAGCCAGUUUUAUUUAAAAAUGUCUAAGGAAGCAUAAACAUUAAUUUCAUUGAAUUUUAAUCCUUGAAGUGCCUUUUUAAUAUUCAGGGUUAAUGAAAUAGGAAAUAUUCGCAAAGCAAUUCUGUUUAUACCAAAGAACAAUGGUCGUCUUGAGGAAAUAUACCAUGCAAUCAUUUGAGUUGUGAGCUGAACCAGCCACUUGUUUCACAGACCACCAUUUUACCUGAAAGGAUGACUGAAUGGCAAACUAUGUUAUCUAACUUGGGUAUCUGGCAGACAGUUUCUCAAAAAUGAACAAAGUGAACCUGUUGUAUCAAGGACAACAAAUGAGUUUUUUAUAAAAUUUGAGCUUUCAGGCAGAAAUUACAAGUUUUGGAAAACUUCUAUUUACCACCGAGAGCUUGAUGGCUUCCUAAAACUUAAAGGCUUUUCUGAUAAGGUCAGUUGUGAUACUAAAAGUUAUAAUAUUCAAAAAUAUUGCACAAUAUAAAGUGUCAACAAAGAAGAUCUGCACUUAGUGAACCAAUAUUGUCCAAAAGAUUGAUAGAUUUCAAUAUAUGAAAAAUUUAUGGAUGUGGUUUCAGAUUCUACAUUGUACCUAAUCUUUCAGAAAGUAUCACUUGUUCAGUUUUGGAGCUGUUUCAAAGAAGAAUAGCCAUAAUUACCUGAAAAGACUAUAAAAUACUCCUUCCUUUUUCAACUUAUAUCUGCGUGACACUGGAUUUUCUCCAUGCAUGGCAACCAAAACAACAUGUCAUAUCAAGUUGCAUUCAGAAGCAGUUGUAAGAAUAUAGCUACCUUCUAUUAUGUCAUACAUUAAAGAGAUUGGCAAAAGUGUAAAACAAUGCCAUACUUCUUCUUUUUUUUUUUUUUUUUUUUUUAGAGUGUCACUGAUGCUUUAUUUACAUGCGUCACCAUCUCUUUUACAAACUAGAUUACGGUUUUAAGUGGAAUACACAAGGCAAUAUCUACAAACACCAAGGAAAGUAAGUACUGCA
rnacentral:lncRNA from 10 species